rnacentral:rRNA from 1 species
CCAGACUCCUACGGGAGGCAGCAGUGAGGAAUAUUGGUCAAUGGCCGGAAGGCUGAACCAGCCAAGCCGCGUGAGGGAGGAAGGCGCAGAGCGUCGCAGACCUCUUUUGCCGGGGGACAAAAGGCCGGACUCGUCCGGUCCUGAGGGUACCCGGAGAAAAAGCAUCGGCUAACUCCGUGCCAGCAGCCGCGGUAAUACGGAGGAUGCGAGCGUUAUCCGGAUUUAUUGGGUUUAAAGGGUGCGUAGGCGGACGCUUAAGUCAGCGGUAAAAUUGCGGGGCUCAACCUCGUCGAGCCGUUGAAACUGGGUGCCUUGAGUGGGCGAGAAGUACGCGGAAUGCGUGGUGUAGCGGUGAAAUGCAUAGAUAUCGCGCAGAACUCCGAUUGCGAAGGCAGCAUGCCGGCUCCACACUGACGCUGAGGCACGAAAGCGUGGGUAUCGAACAGGAUUAGAUACCCGUGUA